rnacentral:ncRNA from 2 species
GACUUAUCUAGAGCGAUCGAGGGACUGGCCCUAUGACGUCGCGGCAACCUCCCCACGGGGGGAAGGUGCCAAAUCCUGCGGAACGGCGACGUUCCGAAAGAUAAGGA